CUGUGAAUGGCCUUCAUAAACUCCACAUCCAGAGGCUUCAGACUGGACAGAUUCAGAGACAGGUAGAAAUUUAAUACAGAUAAAUAAUAGAUAGAAAGAAAUAAGUGAUUAUGUUACCACUACCCAGUCUAAAUAGUGGUGUGAGGUAGAAGUGUGUGUGUUACCCGUGUCCAAAAGGAGAGAUGAAGUAGAAGUGUGUGUGUUACCCGUGUCCAAAAGGAGAGAUGAGGUAGAAGUGUGUGUGUUACCCGUGUCCAAAAGGAGAGAUGAAGUAGAAGUGUGUGUGUUACCCGUGUCCAAAAGGAGAGAUGAGGUAGAAGUGUGUGUGUUACCCGUGUCCAAAAGGAGAGAUGAGGUAGAAGUGUGUGUGUUACCCGUGUCCAAAAGGAGAGAUGAGGUAGAAGUGUGUGUGUUACCCGUGUCCAAAAGGAGAGAUGAGGUAGAAGUGUGUGUGUUACCCGUGUCCAAAAGGAGAGAUGAGGUAGAAGUGUGUGUGUUACCCGUGUCCAAAAGGAGAGAUGAGGUAGAAGUGUGUGUGUUACCCGUGUCCAAAAGGAGAGAUGAGGUAGAAGUGUGUGUGUUACCCGUGUCCAAAAGGAGAGAUGAAGUAGAAGUGUGUGUGUUACCCGUGUCCAAAAGGAGAGAUGAAGUAGAAGUGUGUGUGUUACCCGUGUCCAAAAGGAGAGAUGAAGUAGAAGUGUGUGUGUUACCCGUGUCCAAAAGGAGAGAUGAGGUAGAAGUGUGUGUGUUACCCGUGUCCAAAAGGAGAGAUGAGGUAGAAGUGUGUGUGUUACCCGUGUCCAAAAGGAGAGAUGAGGUAGAAGUGUGUGUGUUACCCGUGUCCAAAAGGAGAGAUGAGGUAGAAGUGUGUGUGUUACCCGUGUCCAAAAGGAGAGAUGAAGUAGAAGUGUGUGUGUUACCCGUG